CUGGAUGGCAUAGACAACAGAGGGGAGAAUGUGGUAGUCGGAACCACCAACAGACUAGGUUCUAUAGAUCCUGCUUUACAGAGACCAGGACACUUUGACAGAGAGUUCCUCUUCAACUUGCCAAAUAAAGAGAUUCUUGGACACUUCAGAUGACUCCUACUGGACAUUCUCAGGUAGACCAGCAACAGGAGCUCUUGUGACCAGGCCAAUUGCAAAUGAAGUCAGUUGUUAACCAAUGCCAACAAAAACAAUGACGUGGAAGGACAUAGAGAUUGUGAAGUACUGAACCUAGAAUGCAGUGUGACUGUUUAGUGUCCACACCUGGUGUAGAUUUCUGUAGGCUACCGUUUGCUUUUGGUCAGCUGUAGUUUAGGAGACAGAUGCUUUGCCUAAUGCUGAAGGUAAAAGGCCUUGUUGAAUUUUCAGAUAGCGCACUGACGACCUGCUAGUACUAUUGGUUAUGA